rnacentral:rRNA from 1 species
GGGCCCGCACAAGCGGUGGAGUAUGUGGUUUAAUUCGAUGCAACGCGAAGAACCUUACCAGGGUUUAAAUGCAGAACGACAGGGGUGGAAACACCCCCUUCUUCGGACUCAUUACAAGGUGCUGCAUGGUUGUCGUCAGCUCGUGCCGUGAGGUGUCAGGUUAAGUCCUAUAACGAGCGCAACCCCCCAUCGUUAGUUGCCAACGAGUAAUGUCGGGAACUCUAACGAAACUGCCGGUGCAAACCGUGAGGAAGGUGGGGAUGACGUCAAAUCAUCACGGCCCUUACGUCCUGGGCUACACACGUGCUACAAUGGUCGGUACAGAGAGCAGCCACUUCGCGAGAAGGAGCAAAUCUUCAAAACCGGUCUCAG